AGGACGAACGCUGGCGGCGUGCUUAACACAUGCAAGUCGAACGGGAUCCGCAAGGAUUCAGUGGCGAACGGGUGCGUAACACGUGAAGAAUUUGUCCAACGGCGGGGGAUAGCCGGCCCAACGGCCGGGUAAUACCGCGUACGACCUUCGGGGGGCAUCCCCUGAUGGUGAAAGCCGCAAGGCGCCGAUGGAGAACUUCGCGGCCUAUCAGCUAGUUGGUGAGGUCAUGGCUCACCAAGGCGACGACGGGUAGCUGGUCCGAGAGGAUGACCAGCCACAUUGGGACUGAGACACGGCCCAGACUCCUACGGGAGGCAGCAGUGGGGAAUAUGCGCAAGUGGGACAAAAGCCUAGACGCAGCGACGCCGCGUGUGGGAUGACGCGUCGGGUUGUAACCACUGUCGCGAGGACGAAGAUCUGAACCGGUACCUACGAAAGGAAGACCGACCGGACGUAACCUCGUGUCGCCAGCAGCCGC
rnacentral:rRNA from 1 species